AGCUGCAACAGACAAAUCGCCGAGGCGGGGGAGACGUUCAGGGCAUCGGGAUGCUGAAGCCUUGGGGUCCCCAUUCCCGAGCCCAGCCCGCGCGCCGCCUGAGCGUGGCGCAGUUACUUUGGACAUAACAGAUACCAGCCCAACACAGAGGGGAAGAGAGAAAAGGCCUGGACAGCAAGAAAGGACAUAACAUUGUAUCCAUCACAAAUUAAAAAUGCCUUAUCUCAGCUACAUCCAACAGGAUUAACCAAACACCAGCUCUGGGCUCCACACUACGGUAGACCCUGCAAAGGCCACGAUAAAGCGUCAGCACUGUGUCCUCCGGGAAAAGUUACACCGUCCCUCAGGAGGGAGACAUCAAGUGCCUAUAGCAGAAGUCAGCAAACUUUCCAUUAAGUGACAGACACUAAACAUUUCAGGCUCUGUGAGACAGAAAGGCAAAAGAAAGUAAAUUUCCACAAAAUUUACUGACAAAAGUUAAUAUUUAUAGACACUGAAUUUAAAUUUCAUGUAAUAUUCACAUGAAACAAAAUACUACUCUUCUUUUGAGUUUUUCAACAAUCUAAAAGUGCAAUAGCCAUUCUUAGCCUACAGGCUGCAUAAAAACAGGCAGUGGGAUCAGAUUAGCCCCGUGGGCCGUAGUUUGCCAACCCCUGAGGAAUAAGACAAAAGCAAGCACAGAAAAUGGCUGGGGAUUAGCCUGCAAAAUGAACGACACCAAGACAGAAGUCCAGAGAGGUGAGAGGUGCGGUGGGGUGGGGUGGGCUUGUCCAGUCAGGAAGACUUAAUGGAAGGGAUGGGAUUUGAGCAGAGCCUUUAAGGGAGGGUAGGAUUUGGCUGCAUAAAACAGACUGGGAGAACAUUCCAGCAGAACCGAUGAGCAUGAGGCAAAGGCACAGAGGGAGGAAAGAUCAUGGGCCAAAGGAGCCCUAUGAGGUGUUUCCCCAUCCUUCACUGUGACACACCUCUAGCUCUCCAAGGCUUCUGUGACACACCCUGGGCUGGGUGCUUAUGAAGGGGAGGGGUCCCGUGGGCCUGUGGGAGGAGGCCUUUAAAUGACCAUGAUUAAUCAUAUUAUAUGAAUAUUUACAGUAUUCAUCACCCAAAAUUGUUGGAAACACUGAGAUCCAUCAGAUCUGUAGUUUAAAAUUGAUAGAGGACAAACACACGAGGCUUUGUUUCUCUUCGUCAGGAGAGUUCCAGGUUUCAAUUAGUCACCUAUCUUAAGGAAGUUCAAUGGACAACGAGCUUUCCUCAGGAUCUUAAUAAUAUUCUAAUCAUACCAGGAAAUGCCACAUGGCCUAACCCAAGUUUCCAUGGCCAAUCUCAAAGUUUUAAUCAAGUUAGGAAUGGCAAGUAGCUUUCCUUGGUGACAUUUACCUUUUUCUACAUGUUUUUGUUUCUACUUGCAACUUGAAUUUUCUCUAAGAAGUUAGUAAUUCAUGGAUACUAGUAAAUGGUAGAUACCUUGAAAAAAAUGUUCUUCCUGGAUGACUUUAUCUAUUCCCAUGAUUUCACCUCCUGCUCAUAAAAUGCUACUAAUUCCCAGAUCUGUAUCUCCAGCCCAGAUACCUCCCUAGAGGUUCAAAUUUAGCAGUCCAAGUUCCUGCUGGGUGUCUCCACCUCAUCCUCCCACAGGCUGGGCAGCAGCCUCCAAGAUCACCCCCAAAGAUCUCCACCUCUUGGUACUCACGCCCUGGGGUAAUCUCCUUCCCUUGAGUAUGGGCUAGACCUAGUGACUCACUUCUAGCAGCUACAGGGUGGCAGAGUUGAUGAGAUGUCACUUCUGAUACUAAGUUACAGAAAGACUCUGGAUUCCAUCUUUCUUGCCCUUUCUUGCUCUUCUGCUUGCUCAUGUUGCUGGAAGCCAGCUGUUAUGUUCUGAGCUGCCCUAUGGAGAGACCCUGUGGCAAGGAACUGAGAGACGCUGACAGCAAGGGAAGACCUAAAGCCCUCAGGACAACAGCUCCGGAUGAAGCCACUUCUACUAACAACCAUGAAGACCUUGGAAGUCUUCAACAGAGACUACAACCCCAGCCAACAACUUGAUUGCAGCUGUGAGAGACAUGGAUCCCAAGACACACAGCUAGGCAGUACUCACAGUGAGCCACAGAAACUGAGAUAAUAAAUGUGUGGUGUUUGCAGCCACUAAGUUUUGAGGUAAUUUAUUCCACAAAAAUACAUAACUGAUGCAUCAGCAAACUUCCUAAACCUGUUCCUACCCCUAAAUUUUCUGCUUCCGUUGCCAAGAUCACCAUGCAUCCACUCACCUAGGUUGACAAUAGGUUUGUCAGACACCCUUCAUUUGUGUUUCUUAUAUCUACAAAAGCUCAAAUGCUUUCAUAUUUUUCAAUCACAAUAGGUAUGACUUAGUAAGCCGAAAAUUUGCCUUCUGUUCCAUUUGGAAAUCAAGCUAUUUGUGCAACAUAACAUGCUGCAGCAGGAACUUGCUGUAUUUCUAUGUGAUUUUCUGCUAGCAACAAUAUUAAUGACAUCAUACUAGAUAACUUUCCACAGAUAACCAACCCCUGGGAAGUGUCUAGAGUGAUAGAAUGGGAGAAGAGAGAGUCUGGGAAACUCUAGAGAACAAUGCCUAUAGCUUGAAAGUCAACCACAGAAAUAGGGAAAGAACAAGCAUGGAUUAAAAGACAGACGUGGGUCCUGGUCUGGUCUAUGCUACUAAUCUGCUGUGUCCUUGGCAACUCACUUGCCUUCCAGGAGCCUCAAUUUCCUCUUCAAGAAAAUGAGGGGGUUAUAUUUCAAUGAAGAGCAGAACUAUGGAUGGGUUGCUUCAAGUUGAACUAAGAAGCUUGUCAAACUUCAGAUUCCUGUCCCUGAUACUCACACCAUGCUGAUUCAGUAGGUCUGAGAUGUGGCCUAGGUAUCUGUAUUUCUAAAGCGACCAGCUCACUGAAGUAUAUCCAGGUAUAGAAAUCCUGAAUUUGAUGCUCUCAAAGGAAAUUUACAAUACUAAUGUUAUAAUUACUAAGCAGUGUAUACUGUAUGCAAAUUCUACUUUGUAUGUACUUUCUAAAACAUACAAAAAAUUAAAAAUUUAUAGGAUUA